UACGUAGGGCGCAAGCGUUGUCCGGAAUUAUUGGGCGUAAAGCGCACGUAGGCGGCUUUGCAAGUUAGAGGUGAAAGCCCGGGGCUCAACUCCGGAAUUGCCUUUAAAACUGCAUCGCUAGAAUUGUGGAGAGGUAAGUGGAAUUCCGAGUGUAGAGGUGAAAUUCGUAGAUAUUCGGAAGAACACCAGUGGCGAAGGCGACUUACUGGACACAUAUUGACGCUGAGGUGCGAAAGCGUGGGGAGCAAACAGG
rnacentral:rRNA from 1 species